CCUACGGGAGGCAGCAGUGGGGAAUCUUGCGCAAUGCACGACAGUGUGACGCAGCAACGCCGCGUGGGGGAAGAAGGCCUUCGGGUUGUAAACCUCUUUCAGGAAGGACGAAGCCUCGGCCGCGAAUAGCGGUCCGAGGUGACGGUACUUCCACAAGAAGCCCCGGCUAACUACGUGCCAGCAGCCGCGGUAAUACGUAGGGGGCUAGCGUUGUCCGGAAUCAUUGGGCGUAAAGCGCGCGUAGGCGGCCAGAUAAGUCCGGUGUGAAAGUCACAGGCUCAACCUGUGAAUGCCGCUGGAAACUGUCUGGCUAGAGUCCGGAAGGGGCGAGUGGAAUUCCUGGUGUAGCGGUGAAAUGCGCAGAUAUCAGGAGGAACACCAAUGGCGAAGGCAGCUCGCUGGAACGGUACUGACGCUGAGGCGCGAAAGCGUGGGGAGCGAACAGGAUUAGAUACCCUGGUAGUCCACGCCGUAAACGAUGGGCACUAGGUGUGGGGAGGUGUCGACUCCUCCUGUGCGACGCGUACGCGAUAGUGCCGCCGCGGGUAAGGUACGGCCGCGAGACGUUAAACGUUACGAAGAAGUUAGACGGCGNGAGACGNGCCGACGGACGACGACGAGGGAGGAGG
rnacentral:rRNA from 1 species